GGACAGAUGGCCGAGCUGGUUAUGGCGGUAAGCAGCAAUCGUCAUCUCAACAUUCAACCGUGCUAAUUCAAAUUCCAGCCAGGUUAAGGUGAUCCCUUAGCACAAUUUCCUGGUCACGAAAGUGGCGUGGGUUCGAGUCCCACUCUGUUCA